GUUCCAAGAAACACAUGUAGGAUGUGCAGGUUUCUCACAUAGAUAAGCGUGUGCCAUGGUAGUUUGCUACACCUGUCAACCCACUACCUAGGUAUUAAGCCCAGCAUGCAUUGGCUAUUUUCUAUGAAUUUUUCACUCAUGGUUCAGUAUAGUAAAACUUCCCCCAGAAGCAUGAUGUCAAGAAUUGGUAACAGUAGUUUCUGCUGUAAUUUUUCUUGUAAUGAUUCAAUGUUGUUCUUGUAUACAGUGAGGGAAGGGUUAGCUUCUUCUUGACUCUGGAGGUAUGAUGGUGGUGUUAUUAUUCCAUGACAUUUAAAAAUGGCUUACUUGAACAUGAGGGCAGGAAUUUGUGUCCAAUUUGUUCAUUUUUGAAAGUUCAGUUUCUAGACGAGUACCUAGUAAAUUACUAAGUACUCAGUCAAUAAGUUCUUAGUAACAAAUAAGUACUUCCAGUAUUCCAAAAAGUUUUUAAAAUGCAAAAAAUAGUUUUUGUCGAGGCACUUUAAAAUAAUGCUUAUUUUUAUGCUUUUGCCUAAAAAGAGCACGUUAGAGGUGUCUCCCUGCAAAUGCUGUAAAUAUGUAUGCCAUAGUGGUUAAAAUAGGUCCAGAGACUGACUGCUGGGUUAAGCCUUGCCUUCUGUUUCCUAGCUGUGUGUCUUUUCCUUAUCUUUGCACUUCUGUUCUCUCUUCCAUAAAGUUGGAACAAUAAUCAUUUUAGUACCUCUUCUGUCACCAAAUUUUUGAACUAAGUUGAUAUAUAAAGCACUUAGAGCAGUUCCUAUCCCAUACAAAGUACUCAAAUAUUAGUUACUAAUAUUUUAGUCUUAUACUAUCCCUAAUAUACUUCCUAGCACAUGGUUUAUUUUCUGAAAUAAUUGUUGAGUGACUAAUAAUGUUUCUCUAUUAGAAAAAAAAUGUAAACUACUUCAACAUUUAGAGUCCUAUUUUAAGAUAUUGAAAAAGAGUAAAAGAAUAUAAUGAUUAAAAAUAUCACCACUUGACUAGUUUAGGCAUUAAUACCUUUGAGUGAGAGGGUGGGCUGAGUAAAUCAUGAAGAUAAAUAUAACUUUUUCACUGACCUCUUUCAGAAGCUGGAGAGCAAACAUAUUUCUAUGGGAGGGAGGCAGUGCCUUCGUCUUCUAAUCAUAGAUCAUGUCCUCCUUGGCAGGUUCAGGGCCUUUCAUGGGAUUUUAUUGUUUGGAAUCCAACAAAAACAUAGUUGAGAUGAGGUCUUGGAAGGUGGCUUGUCAAGAUGUAUGUCUGCACCAUUUUACUCUUACAACUAUGCCUAUGCACACAGUUUACCACAGAGGAAGUAUUGGUGAGCAUAAGAGUGGGCAGCACAAUGGAAGCCCUCCUGAGUGCAGGACCUGCCACUUGUCCAGGGAGCCAUGACUGGGGAUGUAUUUGACCCCACGGCCACAGUAAGGAAAACAGUCUGGUCCCUGGGCCUUGCAACACGGAUUGAAACGGCAACAUUUCACAGAGAUGUCAAAACAGGAAGAACUUCUGGCAUAAUUAGCACUGAUAAUAGCAUAAAAAAAUACUAGCUAGUCUUUCUAAUGAAGAAUCCUGUUAAAGGACAAUCCAUAUCAAGUUUGAUUGUAAGACUGAUGAUGUAGGUCUGUCUGACCAUAUUUGCUGCUUGCAUAUUAAAUUUCCUAAGCUCAUUAAUCUGUAACUGUGAAUGGAGUUUUUUUUUUUUUUUCACUGAGACAGAGUUUCGCCCUUGUUACAGGCUGGAGUGCAAUGGUGCGAUCUCGGCUCACCUCAACCUCCACCUCCUGGGUUCAGGCAAUUCUCCUGCCUCAGCCUCCUGAGUAGCUGGGAUUACAGGCACGCGCCACCAUGCCCAGCUAAUGUUUUGUAUUUUUAGUAGAGACGGGGUUUCACCAUGUUGACCAGGAUGGUCUUGAUCUCUUGACCUCGUGAUCCACCCGCCUCAGCCUCCCAAAGUGCUGGGAUUACAAGCGUUAGCCACGGUGCCUGGCCUGGAGUUAUUUUUUAUGUGGUCAGAUGCUUCAAAUAAACACACCUAUCAAUGAAAUCUUAGGCUAUUACACUUAUAGGAUAUUCAACAGUAGAGUAGUGAUGCUUUAUAUCAUGUCCAUAGGUGAGAAUGUAGCCCCUAUAAAAGAUCCUCUGUGUUGCUACAGUAUCUUUUUAAACUUAGCUGUUUGGUGCUGAUCAUUUAAAUGCACUCACACAGAUGUAAAAGUAAACAGUGUGGUCAGAAGAAAAUGGUUUUGCCCACGAUGAAGGCAACUGAAUCUACCUUUAACUUUCCUAUAACUAGCUGUGUAAAUAUAGGGAAGAUCAUCUAGCCUUUCUUCAUCUUUAAACUUAGAACUUCAUGCUGAUCAGAACAGUUUUAAAGAUAAAUGAGACAAUAUAGAAGAAAACAGAUUGAAAA